UGCAGUUUGUGAGUUGCAGAAUCAGAGUCUGGAUCUGGAAUAGAAUCAAAGACUUGUUUAUGCACCCUGCCUAAUCUUUGGUGUAGGGCCUGUACAUAGGCAGUCAUACUACCAUGCUGCAUCUGGAGGGUCUGGGGAAAAUAGAGGCCUGUCUUUGGGGCACAUCCUAACAGUAUCUCAAAAGGGGAUGGGCCAUGUCUAGAAUUGGGUCUGAAUCUCAUAGAAAAGAGUGCUAGGGGAAGGCAUUCAGUCCAGGGCUUCACUGUUUCUUGCAUGGCUUUUGCAAUCU